rnacentral:rRNA from 1 species
UACGUAGGUGGCAAGCGUUGUCCGGAUUUAUUGGGUUUAAAGGGUGCGUAGGCGGCUUUAUAAGUCAGUGGUAAAAUCGUGUGGCUUAACCAUACUUCGCCAUUGAUACUGUAGGGCUUGAAUGCGUGCGAGGGCGCCGGAAUAUGUGGUGUAGCGGUGAAAUGCAUAGAUAUCACAUAGAACACCUAUUGCGAAGGCAGGCGCCUGGCACGCGAUUGACGCUGAGGCACGAAAGCAUGGGGAGCAAACAGG